AUGUCAAUUACGGGCCGACGAAACAACACAAGCGGGACCUUUCAAAAGUACUGGAUGGAUUUCACUGCAGCUAUCACUCAAUUGACGACCAAUCAGUAUCAGGACCAAGACAGCACCAUGCCUCUCGAGCAGAACCUCCUACCCUGCUUGUCCAUCCUCAAUCUUCAUUCUUCCUACUGUGCACACCUUUCUAGAUACAGAGGCAGUUUUCAGAAGGAGGGUUGAUGUCACCACUAACAUUUUGCACACAGUGGUAAGUAAAUCACUGAAUCUAAAACUGUG